AACUAACGCUGGCGGCGUGCUUAACACAUGCAAGUUGAACGGAGCACACCAAGUAGCAAUACGAGGUGUGCUUAGUAGCGGACGGGUGAGUAACGCGUGAGUAACCUGCCUUUGUGAGGGGGACAACGGCCGGAAACGGCUGCUAAUACCGCAUGAGACCACGACCUCGAGUGGGGUUGAGGUAAAAGAUUUAUCGCACAAAGAUGGACUCGCGUCCCAUUAGCUAGUUGGUGAGGUAACGGCCCACCAAGGCGACGAUGGGUAGCCGACCUGAGAGGGUGAUCGGCCACACUGGAACUGAGACACGGUCCAGACUCCUACGGGAGGCAGCAGUGGGGAAUAUUGGGCAAUGGGCGCAAGCCUGACCCAGCAACGCCGCGUGAGGGAAGAAGGUCUUCGGAUUGUAAACCUCUGUCCUCAGGGACGAAUUAUGACGGUACUUGAGGAGGAAGCUCCGGCUAACUACGUGCCAGCCGCCGCAGUAAUAC
rnacentral:rRNA from 1 species